rnacentral:rRNA from 1 species
AUUGAACGCUGGCGGCAGGCCUAACACAUGCAAGUCGAACGGUAACAGGAAGCAGCUUGCUGCUUUGCUGACGAGUGGCGGACGGGUGAGUAAUGUCUGGGAAACUGCCUGAUGGAGGGGGAUAACUACUGGAAACGGUAGCUAAUACCGCAUAACGUCGCAAGACCAAAGAGGGGGACCUUCGGGCCUCUUGCCAUCGGAUGUGCCCAGAUGGGAUUAGCUAGUAGGUGGGGUAACGGCUCACCUAGGCGACGAUCCCUAGCUGGUCUGAGAGGAUGACCAGCCACACUGGAACUGAGACACGGUCCAGACUCCUACGGGAGGCAGCAGUGGGGAAUAUUGCACAAUGGGCGCAAGCCUGAUGCAGCCAUGCCGCGUGUAUGAAGAGGGCCUUCGGGUUGUAAAGUACUUUCAGCGGGGAGGAAGGGAGUAAAGUUAAUACCUUUGCUCAUUGACGUUACCCGCAGAAGAAGCACCGGCUAACUCCGUG